rnacentral:rRNA from 1 species
AGAGUUUGAUCCUGGCUCAGGAUGAACGCUAGCUACAGGCUUAACACAUGCAAGUCGAGGGGAAACGAUAUUGGAAGCUUGCUUCCGAUAGGCGUCGACCGGCGCACGGGUGAGUAACGCGUAUCCAACCUGCCCACCACUUGGGGAUAACCUUGCGAAAGUAAGACUAAUACCCAAUGAUAUCUCUAGAAGACAUCUGAAAGAGAUUAAAGAUUUAUCGGUGAUGGAUGGGGAUGCGUCUGAUUAGCUUGUUGGCGGGGUAACGGCCCACCAAGGCAACGAUCAGUAGGGGUUCUGAGAGGAAGGUCCCCCACAUUGGAACUGAGACACGGUCCAAACUCCUACGGGAGGCAGCAGUGAGGAAUAUUGGUCAAUGGACGAGAGUCUGAACCAGCCAAGUAGCGUGCAGGAAGACGGCCCUAUGGGUUGUAAACUGCUUUUAUAAGGGAAUAAAGUGAGAGUCGUGACUCUUUUUGCAUGUACCUUAUGAAUAAGGACCGGCUAAUUCCGUGCCAGCAGCCGCGGUAAUACGGAAGGUCCGGGCGUUAUCCGGAUUUAUUGGGUUUAAAGGGAGCGUAGGCCGGAGAUUAAGCGUGUUGUGUAAUGUAGACGCUCAACGUCUGCACUGCAGCGCGAACUGGUUUCCUUGAGUACGCACAAAGUGGGCGGAGUUCGUGGUGUAGCGGUGAAAUGCUUAGAUAUCACGAAGAACUCCGAUUGCGAAGGCAGCUCACUGGAGCGCAACUGACGCUGAAGCUCGAAAGUGCGGGUAUCGAACAGGAUUAGAUACCCUGGUAGUCCGCACGGUAAACGAUGGAUGCCCGCUGUUGGUCUGAAUAGGUCAGCGGCCAAGCGAAAGCAUUAAGCAUCCCACCUGGGGAGUACGCCGGCAACGGUGAAACUCAAAGGAAUUGACGGGGGCCCGCACAAGCGGAGGAACAUGUGGUUUAAUUCGAUGACAACGCGAAGAACCUUACCAAGUCUUGACAUCCUGCGACGGUUCUGGAAACAGAACUUUCCUUCGGGACGCAGAGACAGGUGGUGCAUGGUUGUCGUCAGCUCGUGUCGUGAGAUGUUGGGUUAAGUCCCGCAACGAGCGCAACCCUUAUGGUCAGUUACUACGCAAGAGGACUCUGGCCAGACUGCCGUUGACAAAACGGAGGAAGGUGGGGAUGACGUCAAAUCAUCAUGCCCUUUAUGACUUGGGCUACACACGUACUACAAUGGCGUUAAACAAAGAGAAGCAAGACCGCGAGGUGGAGCAAAACUCAGAAACAACGUCCCAGUUCGGACUGCAGGCUGCAACUCGCCUGCACGAAGUCGGAAUUGCUAGUAAUCGCAGAUCAGCAUGCUGCGGUGAAUACGUUCCCGGGCCUUGUACACACCGCCCGUCACACCAUGAGAGCCGGGGGGACCCGAAGUCGGUAGUCUAACCGCAAGGAGGACGCCGCCGAAGGUAAAACUGGUGAUUGGGGUGAAGUCGAAACAAGGUA